CUUUUUCUCUCUCUCUCUAGCAUAUAUAUUUGUGCCUCUGUGUGUUUUCAAUGAAUUCUUCUACUUGGAAGUAAUGGUUCUGACUACAAGACAAGCAUUGGAUGAUUUACCAGAAGUCUGAUGUUUGUAAAGUGCUUCUGUUCUCCGCAAGAUAUGAUAUUUGCCACUUAGAAUUAUCGUUCUACAAUAGAUUGUGUUAGUGAUUUUUGUCAUGUUUAAUGUAUAGCACUCGUAAGAAAUCCGUUUGAUCACUGGAGUAAUCAUUUGAUGGUAAUUCAGAACAAUCUCUAGUGUUUGCUGAAGUUGAGUUUUUAACUCUUGAGGGAGUUUACUUUGUGAAAAAUUUCUGCAUGCUGCAGCCUACUUUGUGACAUUUAUGCAUGCAACAGGCCCUUUACACGCCAGUGGAAGAUAAGGAAAUAGACCCCGCAAAUGAUUGCAUGUUAAGAGAUCCAAGCACCUGUUUCGAUUGCUAUUUUUAGGAGUUUUUCUAGAAAAAUAUAUAUUGUUUACGAUUGAUGUCUGUAAGGUUAAAAGGCAAUUACAAAAUGCAUUAGCAGAAAACGUAAAAAAUUUUCUAAGAAAAUUACAAUCCAAUUGUUUGUUUAAUUUCAUGAUGCCAUCUUUGGGAUAGUGAUGCAACACGCACGCACAGACAGACUCAUUAAAUGUGGAGUAAAGUUAACAGGUAACCCUCUGGAAAUCUGCUGACUUGCAUUUACUCUCAUUCACCACCUAACACUGUCAGUACAUUUACUAAUAUGUACCAGACCUGUAAGAAAAAAUAAAACAAAUAAGAGAGGAACAAUUAGAACAAGGACAUAAUAUAUACAAAAUGAUUUCAUGGUAGAGAUAUAUAUAUAACUUGCAUCUGUCAAUUAACUUCAGAGUACAGAAAAACAUUUUAGUUUUCCCUACUCUUUCUGCUUGGUACCAUGCCAUUGAUCGCAAAGAAAACAGUGGUGUCAGUGGAUCUACUCUGUUCAAAAUGCAGAAUGAAGGUCAUGAGUUUAAUAUCAAAGCUAGAAGGAAUAACUUCUAUUGCCCUUGACCCGUCCAAAAGUACAGUAACAGUUAUUGGGGAGGCUGAUCCGGUAUGCAUUAUCAAACAAGUCAGGAAGUUCAGUAGAACUGCACAAUUAACAAGCAUUGGUCCUCCCAAGGAAGAGAAGAAGGAUGACAAGAAAGACGCUCUUCCUUCUCUGCCGAAAACAUGUCAGAGAUGUGAUGUUUGGUACGUCGUUAGUGAUGAUUAUUUCGGCCACUGUAACAUUCUAUGAUCACUUCACAUGGGCCGACUUCUGUGAAUCUUUAUCAGAAAUGACGCAUCCAUGCUACCAUAUUCUUUUGAGUCAGUAAGCUAGAGCAAGAGUUUAAUGCUCUAGUUGUCGCCAAAUUCUUUAGUUAUGAUAUUAAUAUGUUGUUUAAAGUCUUUCCUGUUUUCAAAAGUUUCAAUAUUGGACCAAUUAAGUGAUAUGCUUUGGAGAUAAUUUGGGUGGCUAUAAUCCGCUUAGCCUCAACCUUUCACUGUAACUUGCUUGUUUCAUUUCAUAUCUCCUGCUCUCUUCUUCCUUAUGGCAGAUACUGAGAGGGGGAUUGAGUUGUCCAAUAUUUUGUCGUAGGGACGUUAUGGACAAGGUUUUAGUUUCCGCUCGGAUUUUGCUUGUCUUGCAUUACGAACGUCUUUUUCUUGCUGUCUCACACAAGAUGGUUUCCAGAA